rnacentral:rRNA from 1 species
UACGGAGGGGGCUAGCGUUGUUCGGAAUUACUGGGCGUAAAGCGCACGUAGGCGGCUUUGUAAGUUAGAGGUGAAAGCCCAGGGCUUAACCCUGGAAUUGCCUUUAAGACUGCAUCGCUCGAAUUGUGGAGAGGUGAGUGGAAUUCCGAGUGUAGAGGUGAAAUUCGUAGAUAUUCGGAAGAACACCAGUGGCGAAGGCGACUCACUGGACAGAUAUUGACGCUGAGGUGCGAAAGCGUGGGGAGCAAACAGG